rnacentral:tRNA from 1 species
ACCUGGGUGGCUCAGUCGGUUAAGCAUCUGACUCCAGCUUAGAUCAUGACCUCACAUUUCAUGGGUUUGAGCCCCAUGUCAGGCU